rnacentral:rRNA from 1 species
UACGUAGGGUGCGAGCGUUGUCCGGAAUUAUUGGGCGUAAAGAGCUCGUAGGCGGCUUGUUGCGUCUGCUGUGAAAUCCCGGGGCUUAACCCCGGGCGUGCAGUGGAUACGGGCAGGCUGGAGGCAGGCAGGGGAGAAUGGAAUUCCCGGUGUAGCGGUGAAAUGCGCAGAUAUCGGGAGGAACACCGGUGGCGAAGGCGGUUCUCUGGGCCUGUUCUGACGCUGAGGAGCGAAAGCGUGGGGAGCGAACAGG